UGGGUCUCGUGCGAUCUUCUGGUGUGAACCCUGUCAGGUCCUGACGGAAGCAGCAGUAAGCGCUUUUGAGGAUGUGCUGCGGG
rnacentral:SRP_RNA from 1 species